rnacentral:ncRNA from 1 species
AUAAAGUUUUAUUCUUGCUUGUUAAUUUAUUUAAUAUUUGUUUUACAUGUAAAUUUUAGUGUGAUAAAGAAUUAGGCCUUAAUGGUUAAUUAUUCAAUAUUUAUUCGCAGUAUUUAUUAUUAUUAAUCAAAGUAAUUUGGAAUUAGUAAUUUAUUAUAAGUGUCGGCCAAAAUCGUGCCAGCUGCCGCGGUUAUACGAAGGACGCAAAUGAAUAUUUUUGGUUUGUAGUUAAAUUGUGAUUAUUUGGAGUUAAAUUUAUUUUUUUAAGGUGAAAUUUUUGAAUUUAUUUAUUUCUUCUUUUUUAUAAGUUGUUGAGGCUGUGAAAUUCAAAUUUUAGACUAGGAUUAGAUACCCUAUUAUUUUGGAUGUUAAUGAUAAGACUUGAGUAGUAGUAGUUAUUUUCUUGAAACUCAAAGAAUUUGGCGGUGUUUUAGACCUUUCAGAGGAACUUGUCCCAUAAUCGAUAUUCCCCGUUGGACCUAACUUAUUUUUGUAAUCAGCUUGUAUACCGCCGUCGUCAGAAUGUUCUUAGAGGAUUUAAAUUUUCUUUAUUUUUUAUUAAAAAUGAUGUCAGGUCAAGGUGCAGUUUAUAUUUAAGUGGAGAUGAGUUACAAUAAAUGUAUUUAUUAUGGAAUAAUUUUUUGAAAUAAAGGUAGGAAAGUGGAUUUGAUUGUAAUUGAAUUUAUUAAAUUAAUUUGAUUUUGGCUCUGAAACAUGCACACAUCGCCCGUCGCUCUCGUUAUUAAGGCGAGAUAAGUCGUAACAUAGUAGGUGUACCGGAAGGUGUACCUAGAACGUUC